UACAGAGGUCUCAACCGUUGUUCGGAUUCAUUGGGCGUAAAGGGUGCGUAGGCGGUCGUGCAAGUCGGAUGUGAAAUCUCAGGGCUCAACCCUGAAACUGCAUUCGAUACUGCGUGGCUAGAGUGCUGGAGAGGAGACUGGAAUUUACGGUGUAGCAGUGAAAUGCGUAGAUAUCGUAAGGAAGACCAGUGGCGAAGGCGAGUCUCUGGACAGCAACUGACG
rnacentral:rRNA from 1 species